rnacentral:misc_RNA from 1 species
CAACCCUCAAGCUCUGCUUGGUGUUGGGGCGUCUGCAGCUCCGGCUGCAGGCCCUGAAAAACAGUGGCGGGCUCGCUGCAACUCCGAGCGUAGUAGUCUCUUCUCGCUCCGGAGGCGUGGCGGCACCCGGCCGUUAAACCCCCCAAACUUCUGAA